rnacentral:rRNA from 1 species
GACGAACGCUGGCGGCGUGCCUAAUACAUGCAAGUUGAGCGAUGAAGAUUGGUGCUUGCACCAAUUUGAAGAGCAGCGAACGGGUGAGUAACGCGUGGGGAAUCUGCCUUUGAGCGGGGGACAACAUUUGGAAACGAAUGCUAAUACCGCAUAACAACUUUAGACAUAAGUUUUAAGUUUGAAAGAUGCAAUUGCAUCACUCAAAGAUGAUCCCGCGUUGUAUUAGCUAGUUGGUGAGGUAAAGGCUCACCAAGGCGAUGAUACAUAGCCGACCUGAGAGGGUGAUCGGCCACAUUGGGACUGAGACACGGCCCAAACUCCUACGGGAGGCAGCAGUAGGGAAUCUUCGGCAAUGGACGAAAGUCUGACCGAGCAACGCCGCGUGAGUGAAGAAGGUUUUCGGAUCGUAAAACUCUGUUGGUAGAGAAGAACGUUGGUGAGAGUGGAAAGCUCAUCAAGUGACGGUAACUACCCAGAAAGGGACGGCUAACUACGUG